rnacentral:ribozyme from 11 species
UAAAAGAAAAGAAAACAUAAUUGGAUCUACUAUCAACAACCUUUUCAUGUCCUCUUCUUUCAAAUCACAGGUGACAAAAAAAAUCAAACAAAAUCAUGGCAAUCGAAGCUGUCAGUCAAACUUUAUGGAUGGAUGGAUGGAUGCAUG